UACGGAGGGUGCAAGCGUUAUCCGGAUUCACUGGGCUUAAAGGGUGCGUAGGCGGACAGGUAAGUCAGUGGUGAAAUCUCCGGGCUUAACCCGGAAACUGCCGUUGAUACUAUCUGUCUUGAAUAUCGUGGAGGUAAGCGGAAUAUGUCAUGUAGCGGUGAAAUGCUUAGAUAUGACAUAGAACACCCAUUGCGAAGGCAGCUUACUACACGAUCAUUGACGCUGAGGCACGAAAGCGUGGGGAGCAAACAGG
rnacentral:rRNA from 1 species